rnacentral:rRNA from 1 species
UGAACGUUGGCGGCGUGGAUUAGGCAUGCAAGUCGAGCGAGAACCGGUCUUCGGACCGGGGACAGCGGCGAAAGGGACAGUAAUAUGUAGAUUACUUGCCCCGAGGCCCGGGAUAGCUGCGGGAAACUGCAGGUAGUACCGGAUGAUAUCUCCGGAUCAAAGGUGUGAUUCCGCCUCGGGAUGGGUCUGCAUCCUAUUAGUUAGUUGGUGAGGUAACGGCUCACCAAGACUUUGAUGGGUAGCGGGUGUGAGAGCACGACCCGCGUCACUGGGACUGAGACACUGCCCAGACACCUACGGGUGGCUGCAGUCGAGAAUCUUCGGCAAUGGACGCAAGUCUGACCGAGCGACGCCGCGUGUGGGAUGAAGGCCUUCGGGUUGUAAACCACUGUCAGAGGGGAGGAAAUUUGUGGGGGUUCUCCCCCAUGAUUGACCUAGCCUCAGAGGAAGGACGGGCUAAGUUCGUGCCAGCAGCCGCGGUAAGACGAACCGUCCGAACGUUAUUCGGAAUCACUGGGCUUAAAGGGUGCGUAGGCGGCGCAGAAAGUAGGGUGUGAAAUCCCUCGGCUUAACCGAGGAACUGCGCCCUAAACUACUGUGCUCGAGGGAGAUAGAGGUGAGCGGAACUUAGGGUGGAGCGGUGAAAUGCGUUGAUAUCCUAAGGAACACCGGUGGCGAAAGCGGCUCACUGGAUCUCUUCUGACGCUGAGCACGAAAGCUAGGGUAGCGAACGGGAUUAGAUACCCCGGUAGUCCUAGCCGUAACGAUGAGCACUGGAUUGGAGGGUCCUCCAUAGCCUUCCAGUCGCAGCGAAAGUGU